rnacentral:rRNA from 1 species
CAGCCGCCGCGGGAAUACAGAGGGUGCGAGCGUUAAUCGGAUUUACUGGGCGUAAAGCGUGCGUAGGCGGCUUCUUAAGUCGGAUGUGAAAUCCCUGAGCUUAACUUAGGAAUUGCAUUCGAUACUGGGAAGCUAGAGUAUGGGAGAGGAUGGUAGAAUUCCAGGUGUAGCGGUGAAAUGCGUAGAGAUCUGGAGGAAUACCGAUGGCGAAGGCAGCCAUCUGGCCUAAUACUGACGCUGAGGUACGAAAGCAUGGGGAGCAAACAGGAUUAGAUACCCCAGUAGUCCCUGUCUUUUAUAC